UUGUAUUUCGAACAGACUCUCAGGUACAUGUCUGCUGCUGUUCCAGGGACCAUAGUUGGAGAAUCACCGAUCUAAGGAAUUUAUUUCCUGAUGUUCCCUACACUGAAGUUCAUAAGAUAACAUCACUCUUUUCAUGAGAAAGUCUAUUAAUUUGGCUUCCUUGAGGCAUAGGCUAAAAAAAAAAAAUAGUCUUCUAUCAGAAAUUAUAUAGCAAUCCAUCUCCUGUACCAACUUUUCUAUUUUGUAAGAUUAUUGGUUAACUGUGGGCCAGUAAUCUGUAGCAUAAGCAUUUAAUGAGCUUGAGUUUGAUGGGAUCUUUCCCCUCAGGAGCAGAGCCAGAGUAAUUUUAUUUGGUAGCAACAGAAGAGAGCAUCAUUGACUUUGGAGCCUGUGAACCUGGUCAACCCAGCGGAUCAAGCCUGGUCCACUUGCUGGAUCGCUGGCCUUGAAUGUGGCCGGUGCUCGAUGGUUUUCCUUUGUGUAGACAAGUGUUUCAGUGGCAGCUGGAGAGAAGAUCUCACCAGUGUCACAGUGACCAUUGUAGUAAAGUAAGCCAAUCUCAUGAUAUCUGUGGUGUGUAUUUUCAAAUUUCUAGGUCCUUUUAUGCCCUGUGAGGCGGUUUUAAGAACGCUCUAUCCGGAAAGACCAGUGGUUCAAUAGCUUCCCAAGAAAUAAGAGAUAACUGUUGCAAUUGAUUUUUUUUUUCCCCUGAAGUGUUGCAUCUUUUAGAGUCAGGCCAGAGAUGACAUCCAUUGUAUUUGAGAGGGUCCUUUCUCUUCCUCUGCUCUAAUCCUGACUUCCUUCUGCUCCUCUCCACCAGUCACUAGAAAGCAUCAUCUCCUAAGACCGGCGUUCGUGUGAUGAUGGAGGCCUGUCUGUCCUUUCCGUGACUGGAGCAAUGCUGACCUCGGUUUCCUGGACCCAUUCCGACUCAGGGAGAAGAAAGUCAACAAAGGAAUUCCCAUUUGGCCAGCCUAGCCUGACAUCUGGGAAGAUCAUGGAGGAAAUUUUUCAUGUCAGAAACUGGGAGUUUGUUAAAAUGAUUGUCAGGGCUCCUGGCCGGCCCCGACGGUUGAGCAUCCAGCUCUGGGUUUCGGCUCAGGUUGUGAUCUCAGCGCCAUGACAUCGAGCCCCACACCGGGCUCUGUGCUCAGUGGGGAGUCUGCUUGAGAUACUCUCUGUCUUCCCCUGCUCCUACCUCUCCUCCCUGCACUCUCUCUUUCUCUAAUAAAUAAAUAAAUCUUUUAAAAAGUAAAAUAAAAUGAUUGUCUUCUCCUUCACCAGCCUUGAACAACAUUCUUUACAUCCUUCAGAAGAAUGGACUCGUCCCCGGAAGUAGCAUUGGCUUCUUUCUUCAGUAUGGUCCUUUCCAGGGACUGAACCAAGGGGUGGCUCGGGGCUCUAGUCCCCCCACACUCUGUCUCACACAGAUACAAGCCACUCGGACAGACCUUCACUGUGUUCAUUGUAGUACAGGUGCAGCACCCCAAGAAGCUCCCCAGCCAUCCCCUUCCUGGCCACUCCAUGCUACCUCGAAGCCCCUCCUACACAGACAUUCCAGAAUGGCCACAAUUCCUUAGUUUGCCCUUCUUGGCUCUUCCUUGUGGGCCGUCCUGGUGUUGACACCACUCUAUAGAUUUCAUUUUCCUCAGUGGGCCUCAGAAGGUUUCUUCUUGCAAAGAAAGAGCCCAGUGGGUGGGGGCCUCCAUCUGUCUGUGUGUUUGGCUGUCUAGAGGAAAGUUGUUCCUCACUCACCUGGCCCGGGGGCUCCGUUGUCUGUGCCUCCGUGCUUUCUGUGCUUCUGUUCGUCUCCCCCAGGCUCCCAGCCUGGGACAGAGUGCUGGGGUCUGGGCUUGUGUUGUCCACCUAACGAGUUCCUUCAUGGCCUUGGUGAUGUUGCCAAGGCCCCACAAGGAAUUUACAUGUACUCAAGAGAGACCCCUUUAGCCAUCAGAAUUCAGCUCUCUGGAAUAUAACCAGGAGUUAGGAAGAACUAAGAAAAGUCUCAGAGGACAAAAUACCUCUCUCCAAAGCUAAGCAUUAAACUUUAAGUAGAUCUUUGCUAGGUUUGUGUUUUGAGUGUGACCACACUCCCAAUUAACUCGGCUUUAUGAUUCUCUUUGCUUUUAUAGAUGAGAAAAACUGAAGCCCAAAGAGGCUAAAUAAUUUGCCUAAACUCUCCAAGCUAUGAGUGGUAGUACAGGUUCUUAGGACUCUAGACUUAGGAGGGUAAUCAGGUGUUCUGAAUGGUGGCAGCAAGAUAAGGAAAAGGGUUGAACUAUCUUUAACUCUUUCAUUUAGAAAGUAGUAGAAAGAUACAGAGUAAUUGCACGAUGGUUUCCUUCAGAACUUUUAUUUUUUUAAUUCUAGUGUGUGACAAGUAUCAGUUGGCUGAGAAAUCCCAGCUUGUGGAACUGUGCUUCCUGAUUCUGCCAAACGAAUGUGAAGUUACUAGAGUUCCCUUUGCUGAACAGCUAGUUCAUAGGCGCUUAUAAACUAUUUUUUGUAUCAUCAAGAGGAAGGAAGCCUCGGUUGUUCUGGGUCAUGGUGAUCAGCCUGGCUCUGGUGUGCACGGGCAGGAGACGGACAGCUUCUGGAAUGUCCCAGUGUCGGGAUAGACCCUUCCCCCAUGACUGAGGAUGGCUGCUUCCUGCAAGAAAGUUCCCUGCACGGGAGUGAAUGGUCACCAGCUCAUUGACAUUCACUGGCAUCCUUUGUUGGUGUUAAGCUUCACUGUUUUCAGAGUACUGUCCUGCACAUGAUCCCCUUGGUUUACAACACUCCUGUGUGUUAGGCAAAGCAGGCAGUGGUAUCCUUCCCAUCGUCCAGGUGAGGACAGCCAGGCUUGGAGGGAGGUGCACGUGGACGUGCUGCUGGGGAGAAGCAGGAGCCGAGCCCUUUGUCUAGAUCACCGAUUCAGAUCCUCCCGCCACUUGGAGCACCUGUGCCGUUCGUGCCCGG
rnacentral:lncRNA from 1 species